UCUCUUGUAGUAUAGUGGUUAGUAUCCGCGCCUGCCACGUGCGAGACCCGGGUUCAAUUUCCGGCCAGAGAG
rnacentral:tRNA from 1 species